AGAGAGUGCUAGAGGAAGUUAAUGGAGAUGGGUGGCUCGGGAAGAAGAAAAAGAGGCCUAGUCUUCUUCCCGACACCACCCAUUCCAUCCACUUCCUCCAACUUCUCUCUUUC
rnacentral:pre_miRNA from 1 species